rnacentral:rRNA from 1 species
GAUGAACGCUGGCGGCGUGCCUAAUACAUGCAAGUCGAGCGAACGGACGAGAAGCUUGCUUCUCUGAUGUUAGCGGCGGACGGGUGAGUAACACGUGGAUAACCUACCUAUAAGACUGGGAUAACUUCGGGAAACCGGAGCUAAUACCGGAUAAUAUUUUGAACCGCAUGGUUCAAAAGUGAAAGACGGUCUUGCUGUCACUUAUAGAUGGAUCCGCGCUGCAUUAGCUAGUUGGUAAGGUAACGGCUUACCAAGGCAACGAUGCGUAGCCGACCUGAGAGGGUGAUCGGCCACACUGGAACUGAGACACGGUCCAGACUCCUACGGGAGGCAGCAGUAGGGAAUCUUCCGCAAUGGGCGAAGGCCUGACGGAGCAACGCCGCGUGAGUGAUGAAGGUCUUCGGAUCGUAAAACUCUGUUAUUAGGGAAGAACAUAUGUGUAAGUAACUGUGCACAUCUUGACGGUACCUAAUCAGAAAGCCACGGCUAACUACGUG